rnacentral:rRNA from 1 species
UACGGAGGGGGCUAGCGUUGUUCGGAAUUACUGGGCGUAAAGCGCGCGCAGGCGGCUCUUCAAGUCAGGGGUGAAAGCCCAGAGCUCAACUCUGGAACUGCCUUUGAGACUGAAGAGCUUGAGUACGGGAGAGGUGAGUGGAAUUCCCAGUGUAGAGGUGAAAUUCGUAGAUAUUCGGAAGAACACCAGUGGCGAAGGCGGCUCACUGGCCCGUUACCGACGCUCAGGCGCGACAGCGUGGGGAGCAAACAGG